GACCAAAGUUUGUCUAGCUAGCAAUGCACCAAUCCAACUUCUUCAGUCCAGAUACAGAUAUACAGAUACCUGGGCUCUGGGUAUCGGCCGAUACCGAGUACCGAUCCGAUACCAGUGUUUAAUCAAUAAGCUGUAUGCGUCACAGUGUGGAAGUGACUGAGAUCAUUCUGUUAUGUGUAAGGCAACAUCA